rnacentral:rRNA from 1 species
AUACGGAGGGGGCUAGCGUUGUUCGGAAUUACUGGGCGUAAAGCGCACGUAGGCGGCUUUGUAAGUCAGAGGUGAAAGCCUGGAGCUCAACUCCAGAACUGCCUUUGAGACUGCAUCGCUUGAAUCCAGGAGAGGUCAGUGGAAUUCCGAGUGUAGAGGUGAAAUUCGUAGAUAUUCGGAAGAACACCAGUGGCGAAGGCGGCUGACUGGACUGGUAUUGACGCUGCGGUGCGAAAGCGUGGGGAGCAAACAGGAUUAGAAACCCUAGUAGUCC